AUUCCAUGGUGUGGACACUUCCUUAACAACUCCUUAAAUCGCUCCAAAGAAUCAUACAGUGACUCUCCUUCCAUUUGAUAAAAAUUAUUAAUCUCUCCCCUUAGUUU